CUAAAGGUAUCGCCUAUGAAAGGCGUAAUGCGAUUCGGCAGAAAGGGUAAGCUUAGUCCGCGUUAUAUUGGGCCUUAUCAGAUUAUUAGAAAAAUUGGGAAUGUCGCCUAUGAGUUAGAUUUGCCAUCUGAUUUGGAAGCGGUACAUCCGGUAUUCCAUGUGUCUAUGCUCCGCAAAUGCAUUGGUGAUCCCUCCAGAAUAUUUCCUGCGGAUGAUAUUCAGGUGACGGAGCAGUUAUCUUAUGAGGAGCAGCCCGUAGCUAUUUUGGACCGUCAGGUACGGAGGCUCCGUAAUAAGGAUGUAGCCUCUGUUAAGGUACUGUGGCGGAACGAGAAUAGGGAGGAAAUGACCUGGGAGUCCGAGGAAGAAAUGAAGAAGAAAUAUCCUCAUCUGUUCCCUAUGCCCACAGUUGGUUUGGAAGAAAGAGGACUUGUUUCUUCAAAUUGACAACUCACUCAAGUGAAGAAGAUUGGAGAAAAAGAUUUUCGACGAAACGGAGAGUGAGCUUGGAUAGGCUUAAAAAGCUC